rnacentral:rRNA from 1 species
UAAGUUGGAUGUGAAAGCCUAUGGCUCAACCAUAGAACUGCAUCCAAAACUAUCAGGCUAGAGUGUGGGAGAGGAAGAUGGAAUUAGUUGUGUAGGGGUAAAAUCCGUAGAGAUAACUAGGAAUACCAAAAGCGAAGGCAAUCUUCUGGAACAUUACUGACGCUGAGGCGCGAAAGCGUGGGGAGCAAACAGGAUUAGAUACCCUGGUAGUCCACGCCCUAAACGAUGAAUGUUAGUCGUCGGGUAGCUAGUCUAUUCGGUGAUGCAGCUAACGCAUUAAACAUUCCGCCUGGGGAGUACGGUCGCAAGAUUAAAACUCAAAGGAAUAGACGGGGACCCGCACAAGUGGUGGAGCAUGUGGUUUAAUUCGAAGAUACGCGAAGAACCUUACCUAGCCUUGACAUAUUAAAGAACACCCUAGAGAUAGAGUGGUGCCUUCGGGAGCUUUUUUACAGGUGCUGCACGGCUGUCGUCAGCUCGUGUCGUGAGAUGUUGGGUUAAGUCCCGCAACGAGCGCAACCCUCGUCACUAGUUACUAACGGUUCGGCCGAGGACUCUAGUGAGACUGCCUUCGUAAGGAGGAGGAAGGUGAGGACGACGUCAAGUCAUCAUGGCCCUUACGGCUAGGGCAGCACACGUGCUACAAUGGCCAGGACAGUGAGACGCGAUACCGCGAGGUGGAGCAAAUCUAUAAACCUGGUCUCAGUUCGGAUUGUAGUCUGCAACUCGACUACAUGAAGCUGGAAUCACUAGUAAUCGUAGAUCAGCUAUGCUACGGUGAAUACGUUCCCGGGUCUUGUACUCACCGCCCGUCACACCAUGGGAGUUGAUUUCACCCGAAGCGGGGAAGCUAAACUGGCUACCCUCCACGGUGGAAUCAGCGACUGGGGUGAAGUCGUAACAAGGUAACC